rnacentral:rRNA from 1 species
UACGUAGGGGGCGAGCGUUGUCCGGAAUCAUUGGGCGUAAAGCGCGUGUAGGCGGCCCGGUAAGUCCGCUGUGAAAGCCCAGGGCUCAACCCUGGAAUUGCCUUUAAGACUGCAUCGCUUGAACAUCGGAGAGGUAAGUGGAAUUCCGAGUGUAGAGGUGAAAUUCGUAGAUAUUCGGAAGAACACCAGUGGCGAAGGCGACUUACUGGACGAUUGUUGACGCUGAGGUGCGAAAGCGUGGGGAGCAAACAGG